GGAGUUGUAGCUCAAUGGUAGAGUGCUUGCCUAGCAUGUGUGAGGCACUAGGUUCAGUUCUCAACACCA
rnacentral:tRNA from 1 species